UACGAAGGGUGCAAGCGUUACUCGGAAUUACUGGGCGUAAAGCGUGCGUAGGUGGUUUGUUAAGCCUGAUGUGAAAGCCCUGGGCUCAACCUGGGAAUGGCAUUGGAAACUGGCUUACUAGAGUGCGGUAGAGGGUAGCGGAAUUCCCGGUGUAGCAGUGAAAUGCGUAGAUAUCGGGAGGAACAUCCGUGGCGAAGGCGGCUACCUGGACCAGCACUGACACUGAGGCACGAAAGCGUGGGGAGCAAACAGG
rnacentral:rRNA from 1 species